AACGCUAGCUACAGGCUUAACACAUGCAAGUCGAGGGGAAACGAUAGAGAAAGCUUGCUUUUUCUAGGUGUCGACCGGCGCACGGGUGAGUAACGCGUAUCCAACCUGCCCAUCACUUGGGGAUAACCUUGCGAAAGUAAGACUAAUACCCAAUGAUAUCUCUAGAAGACAUCUGAAGGAGAUUAAAGAUUUAUCGGUGAUGGAUGGGGAUGCGUCUGAUUAGCUUGUUGGCGGGGUAACGGCCCACCAAGGCGACGAUCAGUAGGGGUUCUGAGAGGAAGGUCCCCCACAUUGGAACUGAGACACGGUCCAAACCCCUACGGGAGGCAGCAGUGAGGAAUAUUGGUCAAUGGACGAGAGUCUGAACCAGCCAAGUAGCGUGCAGGAAGACGGCCCUAUGGGUUGUAAACUGCUUUUAUAAGGGAAUAAAGUGAGUCUCGUGAGACUUUUUGCAUGUACCUUAUGAAUAAGGACCGGCUAAUUCCGUGCCAGCAGCCGCGGUAAUACGGAAGGUCCGGGCGUUAUCCGGAUUUAUUGGGUUUAAAGGGAGCGUAGGCCGGAGAUUAAGCGUGUUGUGAAAUGUAGACGCUCAACGUCUGCACUGCAGCGCGAACUGGUUUCCUUGAGUACGCACAAAGUGGGCGGAAUUCGUGGUGUAGCGGUGAAAUGCUUAGAUAUCACGAAGAACUCCGAUUG
rnacentral:rRNA from 1 species